rnacentral:lncRNA from 1 species
AGACAUCGAGCCCAAGCAGACUGCCUCUUUCCAAGGACCCCUCCUAAGCAGCUCACUGGAAGCUCUCCCCACCCCCACCUCGAGCCGCACAGUCCUGUGCCUGGAACGCACAUUCACCAGGAGAAGACCAGGAGGCUUCCUGCGUUGGAGAGUGAAACAGAGGCAGCUCAUGCUGGCUAAUGCUACACCUCUCAGCUCUAUCCCUGCCCAAUGCAUCCUUGAUUAUGACAAUUAAACCCAAGGCAAGUAUCCUCAGUACACAGAA